AAAGGAAAUGCUCCUGGGGCAUACUCAGAGACAAUGCUUAGGUGUCCCACUAAUACUGAGGAAAAUGAAUGUCUUUGAAGGUAAGAAAAUACAGAGGAAGAAAGCACACCGCUGUGGUCAACUGGUCAACUGGACAUGAGGAAAGAAGGCUAGGAGCUUGAAGCUGUCCAAGAGAUCAAGAAAGUUUCUGAAUGUGCAGGCUAAUAAAUGCUUCUGAGAGUUGUGUGA